ACGAACGCUGGCGGCGUGCUUAACACAUGCAAGUCGAACGGUGAACUUGGGAGCUUGCUCCUGGGGGAUCAGUGGCGAACGGGUGAGUAACACGUGAGCAAUCUGCCCUUGACUCUGGGAUAAGCGUUGGAAACGACGUCUAAUACCGGAUACGAACUUCCCCGGCAUCGGGAGGAGUUGGAAAGAAUUUUGGUCAAGGAUGAGCUCGCGGCCUAUCAGCUUGUUGGUGAGGUAAUGGCUCACCAAGGCGACGACGGGUAGCCG
rnacentral:rRNA from 8 species